GGUGAGCGGCAGAGAGGAUUCCCCUGGUCCGGCAGUGAUCAGCAAUGAGGACAGCGGGCAGUACUUCUGUAAGGCUGAGAAUCAAUAAGGACCACUUGACUCAUCAUCUCAGUAUAGCAGAGGGAGCGGUUCUUUCUUGAUUGCACUUCCUCCGCUGUCGCACACUCACCAUCUUUCACACCACAGUCAAUUUAUCAUAGAAGGUAAGGAUCUUCCCUUAAUAAUUACAAUAGAUUAGUUUUGAGGUAAUAUUUGGAGUAAAUCUUUGUUGAACCUAUUUCUGGUGGAACAUAAAUUCAAGUGUACUUGACAAUUUAUCAAACUGGAAUGGAUUUGAAAUACUUUAAAGCAUCAAAGAUAGAUUCAGGAAAAUGUCAUACUCUAAAAUGGUGUAUGAAGAUACCUAGUGCUUUGUCACAUUUGGCAUUUCACCCUACAGCAGAAAUGUCACCCUUUAUACACCAUUUAUAAAGUAUGAAAUAUGCUUAGAUGAUUUGUGAAGCGCUUAUGAAGGCUUUAUGUACACUAUAUAAAACCUUUAAGAUUUUUACUUUGUUUAAAGUGAGACCAAAAUAUGUUCUCAUGAGUUCACUCAUGUUCCAUAGAUUGAGACUUGAGAGAAAGAAAUGGGGUGCAUUUGCUGCAAAGAGAUGAGAGAAGAUGGGUACACUACACUCUCCAAAGAGAGAAGUUUGUCUUGUGGAAGAAAAAAGGGGGACACUGAAGGGAGGAUAGCAGAGGACAACCGUGUCAUCGGUGGAGAAACGACCUGUCAACUAAGACCAACCUACAAUCCCCAGCCUACCAUCACAGCGCAGGGUGAAAGCAUUGUAACUGCCCUAGAGAUCCAGUCCACAGUAGGAGGUGACAUCAACAUCAACAUUUUGCCAUUUUCAGAACAAAGGUACAAGUUUAUAACUCUUCCACUUUCUAUAAAUAGCUGUGAUGAAAAAGUAUUGGGGCGGCAGAAAGCCUAGUGGUUAGA